GGAUGCGAUCAUACCAGCACUAAAGCACCGGAUCCCAUCAGAACUCCAAAGUUAAGCGUGCUUGGGCGAGAGUAGUACUAGGAUGGGUGACCUCCUGGGAAGUCAUCGUGUUGCAUUCC
rnacentral:rRNA from 1 species